UUUCCGUAGGUGAACCUGCGGAAGGAUCAUUACUGAGUUUUUAAUGAAGUUGUUCUGGUCUUUCGGGGGAAGAGACCGCUUCGCUCAAUCCCUCUUACACCUGUGCACCUAGCGGGGAAGAAUUGGAUCUAGAUUGGGUCACGACGGCGAUCUACAGACUCCCCUUUAUACCCAAUAACAUUUUAAGAAAGUCUUUUUUGAAUGAUGCAAACUUAUAUAAAUACAACUUUCAGCAACGGAUCUCUUGGCUCUG
rnacentral:misc_RNA from 1 species